rfam:Medicago truncatula strain A17 chromosome 2, whole genome shotgun sequence.
AAUGGGAAAUGAUGCCAAAGAUUCAAACAGAGGCGCCAGCUCUGGUGUGAUGAAUUAUUUUUUUUGCACGUCAGUCUGAUCCCAAA